rnacentral:rRNA from 1 species
UACAGAGGUCCCAAGCGUUGUUCGGAUUCAUUGGGCGUAAAGGGUGCGUAGGCGGCGCGGUAAGUCGGGUGUGAAAUCUCGGAGCUUAACUCCGAAACUGCAUUCGAUACUGCCGUGCUUGAGGACUGGAGAGGAGACUGGAAUUUACGGUGUAGCGGUGAAAUGCGUAGAUAUCGUAAGGAAGACCAGUGGCGAAGGCGGGUCUCUGGACAGUUCCUGACGCUGAGGCACGGAGGCCAGGGGAGCAAACGGG